CUAAACAUACUCUCUCCCAAUGUUUUUUUUCUCCAUUCUGUCACCUGACAGAGUUUGGGUUCCUUGCAACUGUUGACUUUUGGCGUGCUUAUUUGGGGACUACUAAUAUUCAGCAAUAUUAUUGAUCUGACUCCACUGACACUAUUGGAUGAGGACUGAACUGAGGAAAAACUAAAAAACUAAAAAAAGAAGACCAAAAAUAUAAUUCAACAGAGGAUGAUGGCUGUGGUGAAACAAGCACUCAAAUAAUGAAACUAAGACCAAUGGGAGUGCUGGAGAAAUCAAGUGUAUAAGUCCUCUGUCUCCUCAGCCAUGGAAGAGAUCUUCGGACAUGAAGAGAUUGAGGAGUUAAAUGAAGUCAAAGAGCUAAAAGAAGAACUACAAUACUAGUGCCAUUUCAGUAUGAAAACAGAGAGAGAGAGCUGAGGCAGUGGAAAGAAAUGCAUGUUAUUGUUCAAGGGGUAGUUGCAUGGACUAUCAGUGGAGGAACAGAAAGCUCUGAGAUUUCAUUAUAAAGAUCUUCAUUUGUGUUCUGAAGAUGAACGAAAGACUUGCAGGUUUGGAACAAUAUGAGGGUGAGUUAUUAAUGACAGAAUUUUCAUUUUUGGGUGAACCAACCUUUUAACUUCUGUUACCUGGAGUGUUCAAAGACAUUGUUAAUGCAGACCAAUAUAUCAUAAGAAAUUAAUUCGGAGUAGUAUGAAUACUUUACACAAACACUUGGUGACAUCACAAUUCAAGAUUUAUUUUAAGCAUGCUAAAUAUGCCUGUAGUAGUGAAAAGUGUAACUGAAACUUGAGAAUUUCUGAUAGUUUUUGUUUGUUUGUUUUUCCAGACUACAUCCAAAAUAGUGUUUCCACAUCUGAGAUGAAGGCAGUCAUAAGAACCAAGCAGAACGAUGAGGAUAAGCUCUUCAAAAAAUGAAACCUGUCAGAAUAAUGAGGGAAGAAAUGUGCGUGAUUGUGUGAUUUGUAAAUAAACACUAAAUACAUUUAGUGUAACUCUCAGCCUGUUAUUUUAAGUUUAAAGAAAAGUAAAAUCAUUUAUUGUUGCAUUGCUGUUUGAGACAUUCACUGUUGUUUUGUACCUUAAUUUAUUAUAUUGCAGUUGUGUAAAAUAAAACUUGUUAUUCUGAAUAUUCUGGUUGUAUUUCAGUGUUACUGUACAGCAUUUUAUUAGUAUUGCACUUUGGUAGUACUGAAUUGU